rnacentral:rRNA from 1 species
GAUGUCGUCGUCGUGCACUUCUCCCCAAGUAGAACGUCGCGACCCGCUGGGUGUCGGUCUACGGCCCGGGUGCGGUGACUGUCGCGUCGCCGGUAAAACGGCACGCGACAAAUCCUCGGCUGCUCGGCAGUACGCGCAAGGUAUCAGGCCGCACUUCUACACGGUGCGUCGAGGCCGUCGCAAGCGCGCGCCACGGUACUCGGAAGUUACGGACUUUGCGCCGUCCCNGGUCCUGGCCCGCUGUUGGUUAAAGUACGGAUCACCUUCGACAGGCCUGCGAACGUCUCUCUCUCACGGG